rnacentral:tRNA from 1 species
GGUAAGAUGGCUGAGGGUGAAGCGGCGGCUUGUAGUUCCGUAAAGAAAGGUUAGAGUCCUUUUCUUACCA